GAAAGUCGGAUGUCCACUGUCGAGGGCCGAGUACAUCAUACGGUUGAUCCAUGCGCUGAUCCCGUUCCCGGAUCGGUUGAACCUAAUAAAAAGAAUAAACGGUUAAUAAUGAAUCCAAAUUUAAAGAAAAAAAAUGUUUAAUUACUAUGUUUGACCCCGUCCAUGUGGAUACGGAGUGAGAUACGGAAGAUGGUCACGACCGGGCUGUUGAACCAACUCCGCAACACGCAUCACUCCCGGAGGACUCGGAGGAACAGGAGCGGAUGCAACAGCGGGAGCGAGAGGAGCAGGAGCGGGUGCAGCAGAGGGAGAUGUAUGGUUGG
rnacentral:lncRNA from 1 species